UGGCGAUGAUUACACCUUAUCCGCGCUUCUGAGAAUCUUCAAUGACGCACAAAGGAUAAAAAUGGUUGAAUUUCUUAAUAUGAGCUG
rfam:Lupinus angustifolius cultivar Tanjil chromosome LG08, whole genome shotgun sequence.